AGUCAUCCCCCUCAGAGAAGUCACCAUCGCCAGAGAAGUCCUCCACGCCAGAGAAGUCAUCCACGUCAGAGAAGUCCUCCACGCCAGAGAAGUCAUCCACGUCAGAGAAGUCCUCCACGCCAGGGAAGUCAUCCGUGCCAGAGAGAUCGCCUCUUUCAGAAGGAUCGCCAAAGACGCGGAGGAUUUUCCCGCGUGAAGAUGAAAUUCCUAAUAUACCCUUCAAUCAUGUCAAACGCAUGCACUAGCAUCGAUUUUACCUUUUUACCCUCAAUUGUAAUCUAUAAAUAGGCCUCGUGCUCGUGUAUGACAAUUACGCUAUCAUUU
rnacentral:lncRNA from 1 species